rnacentral:lncRNA from 1 species
CUGUAUUAAGCAAACUUUCUUCUUCUUUCUUGUCUGCAGUAUUUUGCAAAGCACUGGUGCUGAGCUGUAGCUAGCAGCAAAUAUUUGCAGGUGGAUGCAAUAUCUGGAACCGCCUUAAGCAGAGUUCAUUUUCCCAGUGCCACAAGAUGGACCGAUGGUCACAUGUACAGUUGCCUGCAUUCAGGAUUGUAGCUAUGAUGAUUUAUCAGUAAACUCUAGAAGUGGGAACAAAACCUACAGAGGCGGAAGAUCAAAGAGAGAUGUGUCACCAUCCAACGGGACAAUAAGUGCUCAGAACAAUAUAACAAGUAUGUGAUUUGGAAUUUGGCUGGGAGGUGAAUCUUCAGGGUGUUUUGUGCCUAUGUAGUGUGUUAGCAUUUUAGGUCCAAACUGUAGUCUAGAGUGUAAACAGCAUAGCAGGGAGUGGAUCCAGUUGCUGUGCUGGAGUAGAGAAUCAGCUGGAGAAAUGUAUCUGCACAGCUCACUGGGAGUGUAGUUUAAAGCUGUGAUUGUAGAAAUGAUUUUUAUCACCGUUUGACUUUUCUAAAGGUUUGUGUUCCCUUCUCUUCCCUGCUUUUUAUGGCCUUCCUAGG